rnacentral:pre_miRNA from 1 species
GGAGGGAGGCCGGACCCUGGGCUGUGUCCCGGCGCCCUGUGCUCCCAGUCUGCUCUGUUGGAUUCGCUUUCCCGGCCGGGCAGCCCCCU